rnacentral:tRNA from 1 species
AGCCUCGAGGUGUAUUCACGUCAAAAUGCAAGUUUGAAGAAGGACUCAAGGCGAGCCCCGGGGCUU